rnacentral:rRNA from 1 species
GUCGAGAACUCCUUAGCUUGCUAGGGAUAGUAAAGUGGCGCACGGGUGAGUAACGCGUGGGUAAUCUAGCUUCGAAUCUGGGAUAACAUGCCGAAAGGCUUGCUAAUACUGGAUAAUAUCUGUAAGGCACAUGUUUUGCAGAUCAAAGGUGGCCUCUAUAUAUAAGCUACUGUUUGAAGAUGAGCCCGCGUACCAUUAGCUAGUUGGUAGGGUAAUAGCCUACCAAGGCUACGAUGGUUAGCUGGUCUGAGAGGAUGAUCAGCCACACUGGAACUGACACACGGUCCAGACUCCUACGGGAGGCAGCAGUGAGGAAUUUUGCGCAAUGGGGGAAACCCUGACGCAGCAACGCCGCGUGAGUGAUGAAGGCCUUCGGGUCGUAAAGCUCUGUCAAGUGAGAAGAAUAUAUUGUGUGCCAAUAACAUGCAAUACUGACGGUACCACUAAAGGAAGCACCGGCUAACUCCGUGCCAGCAGCCGCGGUAAUACGGGGGGUGCAAGCGUUAUUCGGAAUUAUUGGGCGUAAAGAGCACGUAGGCGGCUCCUUAAGUCAGAUGUGAAAGCCCGGGGCUUANCCCCGGAAGUGCAUUUGAAACUANGAGCUUGANUAUGGGAGAGGGAANUGGAAUUCC